CCCUUAGAUGUUCUGGGCCGCACGCGCGCUACACUGAAUGGAUCAACGUGUUUUCCCUUCCCGAGAGGGACGGGUAACCCGCUGAACCCCAUUCGUGGUAGGGAUCGGAGCUUGCAAUUGUUCUCCGUGAACCAGGAAUUCCCAGUAAGCGCAAGUCAUCAACUUGCAUUGAUUACGUCCCUGCCCUUUGUACACACCGCCCGUCGCACCUACCGAUUGAAUGGUCCGGUGAAGCCUCCGGAUUGGCGCGCACCUCGGUGCCGCCGAGAAGUUGGCUAAACCCUACCAUUUAGAGGAAGGUGAANUCGUAACA
rnacentral:rRNA from 1 species